GACGAUCCCUAGCUGGUUUGAGAGGAUGAUCAGCCACACUGGGAAUGAGACACGGCCCAGACUCCUACGGGAGGCAGCAGUGGGGAAUAUUGCACAAUGGGCGCAAGCCUGAUGCAGCCAUGCCGCGUGUGUGAAGAAGGCCUUCGGGUUGUAAAGCACUUUCAGUCAGGAGGAAAGGUUAGUAGUUAAUACCUGCUAGCUGUGACGUUAUUGACAGAAGAAGCACCGGCUAACUCCGUGCCAGCAGCCGCGGUAAUACGGAGGGUGCGAGCGUUAAUCGGAAUUACUGGGCGUAAAGCGUACGCAGGCGGUUUGUUAAGCGAGAUGUGAAAGCCCCGGGCUCAACCUGGGAACUGCAUUUCGAACUGGCAAACUAGAGUGUGAUAGAGGGUGGUAGAAUUUCAGGUGUAGCGGUGAAAUGCGUAGAGAUCUGAAGGAAUACCGAUGGCGAAGGCAGCCACCUGGGUCAACACUGACGCUCAUGUACGAAAGCGUGGGGAGCAAACAGGAUUAGAUACCCUGGUAGUCCACGCCGUAAACGAUGUCUACUAGAAGCUCGGAACCUCGGUUCUGUUUUUCAAAGCUAACGCAUUAAGUAGACCGCCUGGGGAGUACGGCCGCAAGGUUAAAACUCAAAUGAAUUGACGGGGGCCCGCACAAGCGGUGGAGCAUGUGGUUUAAUUCGAUGCAACGCGAAGAACCUUACCUACACUUGACAUACAGAGAACUUACYAGAGAURGUUUGGUGCCUUCGGGAACUCUGAUACAGGUGCUGCAUGGCUGUCGUCAGCUCGUGU
rnacentral:rRNA from 1 species